UUGGUUGAAGAGCUACCUGGUCUCCCAGAGAAGAAAGUCGUCAUCAAUACAGUGUUUGAUCAUCUGUUUGUGUCUCCUGUGGAGCGAGGACUUCCUGAUGUUCUUCAAAACCUGCUCUCAAUCUCACAGACGACCAUUAUUCCGUGCAGCUCCUACAUACUGAUAUUCCAGAGGCUGUUUCAGGCGUUACCUUUCCUGCCGACGGAGAUGGAGACUGUGGUCUUCA